CAUGAUGUAUAUUCAUCAAUAUAAACCAUAAAUAUUUAUUCUUUCUUCACUUAUUUACUCCUGUGCAACCAUUGUGUCUCUUUUUCUUACGGUGAAAUACAAGAAAAACAAAGGUAUCUCGGCCGAUCUAGAAGUGUGUCCCUAUGUCGUUGAUUCCUUCACCGCCCUCUUCUUGGAAGAAUACAAUGCCCCGUCUUUCUCCUUGCCCCCUUCUUUCCCUACACAUGCAUUCUUUAUCUG
rnacentral:lncRNA from 1 species